AGCUCUGGGCUUUCCUCGCGCCUGUCGAAGGCCGGCCUUCCCGCUCGGGUGUCUCGCCCUCUCGCUUCUCCGCAGGGCAGGAGGCAGUGGCGAGAAAAGGAGCUGCCGGCCGGAGUUCUAGCACCGAGAAGGAGAGUACUAGAAUACCUGAGUUUUGGCUGGGCACAGAACUGUCUGGAAUACAGACUGCAAUUCCCAGCCUUCUGUGCAGUUCUGUGUGGCCAUGUGACUAAGUUGUGGUCAAUAUGAGUCACGGAAGAAUAGAAGAACAACUCAGAGGAGGAAGAAGUCAGACAUAGCCAGACACGGCUGCUAGCAGUUCCACCAAUGAAAGAGGAGACCAGGAUGUUUAAAACAGGCAAACACAAGGUGCGAAAAACCAGAAGCGAAAACUUCUGAGGUCAUUUAAGCAGGGACUAUCGUUAUCCCCGGAAGCAGAGAGAAGUUCAAUCCUUUGCCCAACAUCACACUGCAAGCAUGUGUUGGAGCUGAGAUUCAAACCCAGGCAUCCAGGGUCCAGGGCCCAUGCUCUUAAUAUAUUCCAUAUCUUAGGAGAAUUUCCCCUAUUUAAGCAAUAAAAGUGCAAAAAUCUUGUGGCUAGCCAAAA
rnacentral:antisense_RNA from 1 species